ACCCGCUGAACUUAAGCAUAUCAAUAAGCGGAGGAAAAGAAACCAACAGGGAUUGCCUCAGUAACGGCGAGUGAAGCGGCAACAGCUCAAAUUUGAAAUCUGGCCUUCGGGUCCGAGUUGUAAUUUGCAGAGGAUGCUUCGAGCAUGGUCUAGUCUAAGUUCCUUGGAAUAGGACGUCAUAGAGGGUGAGAAUCCCGUAUGCGACUGGGUGCCUAAGCUCAUGUGAAGCUCCUUCGACGAGUCGAGUUGUUUGGGAAUGCAGCUCAAAAUGGGUGGUAAAUUUCAUCUAAAGCUAAAUAUUGGCCAGAGACCGAUAGCGCACAAGUAGAGUGAUCGAAAGAUGAAAAGCACUUUGGAAAGAGAGUUAAAUAGCACGUGAAAUUGUUGAAAGGGAAGCGCUUGCAAUCAGACUUGCGCGCAGUUGAUCAUCCGGUGUUCUCACCGGUGCACUCGGCUGCGCUCAGGCCAGCAUCAGUUUCGGUGGUUGGAUAAAGGUCAGAGGAAUGUGGCACCCUUCGGGGUGUGUUAUAGCCUCUGGCGCAAUGCAGCCUACCGGGACUGAGGACCGCGCUUCGGCUAGGAUGCUGGCGUAAUGGUUGUAAGCGACCCGUCUUGAAACACGG
rnacentral:rRNA from 1 species